UCCCUGGUGGUCCAGUGGCUAAGACUCUGAGUUCCCACUACAGGGGGCCCAGGUUCAAUCCCUGGACAGGGAA
rnacentral:tRNA from 1 species